rnacentral:rRNA from 1 species
AUUGAACGCUGGCGGCAGGCUUAACACAUGCAAGUCGAACGAGUGGCGGACGGGUGAGUAAUGCUUGGGAAUCUAGCUUAUGGAGGGGGAUAACUACGGGAAACUGUAGCUAAUACCGCGUACCAUAGGAUGAGCCCAAGUGGGAUUAGGUAGUUGGUGAGGUAAAGGCUCACCAAGCCGACGAUCUCUAGCUGGUCUGAGAGGAUGACCAGCCACACUGGGACUGAGACACGGCCCAGACUCCUACGGGAGGCAGCAGUGGGGAAUCUUCCGCAAUGGACGAAAGUUGACGGAGCAACGCCGCGUGAGUGAUGACGGCCUUCGGGUUGUAAAGCUCUGUUAAUCGGGAGACGGUACCGGAAUAGAAAGCCACGGCUAACUACGUGCCAGCAGCCGCGGUAAUAC